GCGGGUUUAGCUCAGUUGGGAGAGCGUCAGACUGAAGUUUCCACUUCAUUCAAAAAGCCUGAAAAGGGUGAUCUGAAGGUCGUGUGUUCGAUCCACACAAACCGCA